GAACGCUGGCGGCGUGCUUAANACAUGCAAGUCGAACGAAGCACUUUUAAAACAAUCUUUCGGGUGCGUUUUUAUUGUGACUUAGUGGCGGACGGGUGAGUAACGCGUGGGUAACCUGCCUCAUGCAGGGGGAUAACAGUUAGAAAUGACUGCUAAUACCGCAUAAGCGCACAGUACCGCAUGGUACAGUGUGAAAAGAUUUAUCAGCAUGAGAUGGACCCGCGUCUGAUUAGCUAGUUGGUGAGGUAACGGCUCACCAAGGCGACGAUCAGUAGCCGACUUGAGAGAGGUUGAUCGGCCACAUUGGGACUGAGACACGGCCCAGACUCCUACGGGAGGCAGCAGUGGGGAAUAUUGCACAAUGGGGGAAACCCUGAUGCAGCAACGCCGCGUGAGUGAUGACGGUCUUCGGAUUGUAAAGCUCUGUCUUUAGGGACGAUAAUGACGGUACCUAAGGAGGAAGCCACGGCUAACUACGUG
rnacentral:rRNA from 1 species